rnacentral:lncRNA from 1 species
GGCGGCGGCAGGCAGCCCACUAACUCAACAGGCCUCUGGUUCUCCAAGACCUAAGCCUAGCGGAAAGUUUCACCUUGUGGAAGGAAAUUUCCAUUUCUCUUUCCAGCCCCCUAUUACUCCCCCAAGGACUACGCAGCAGACAUCCGGGACUGUCCCUGGGGCUAGCUGUCUGCUGGCCCUGCUAGUUAGCGGGCUCCUCCUCCUCUUCCUCUUCUUCCUCUUCCUCCUCUUCCUCCUCUUCCUCCUCCUCCUUGGAGUCUGUACCCUCUUUAGGAGAUGCUUCUGUUUCCCUUCACUAGGAGGGAUGUUCUCAGAGAUCCCCAGACACUACAGGAUUUGACUUCCAUAAUCUGUGUUCUAGAUUAUAUAAUGGCACUGUCCCCACUG